AUUCUUGGAUUUAUGGAAGACGAACUACUGCGAAAGCAUUUGCCAAGGAUGUUUUCAUUGAUCAAGAACGAAGGUUAGGGGAUCGAAAACGAUCAGAUACCGUUGUAGUCUUAACAGUAAACGAUGCCGACUAGGGAUCGGACGAGGAUUUUUAAUGACUCGUUCGGCACCUGAAGAGAAAUCUUUAAGUCUAGGUUCGGGGGGGAG
rnacentral:rRNA from 1 species